CGCCGGCCUCGUGCGGGUCUGCGGCGUCGGAGCUCGGCCGGCCUCGUGCGGAUCUGCGGCGCCGGAGCUCGGCUAGCCUCGAGCUCGGCCGGCCUCGAGGACGAGGAGUCGCGGCGGCCUCGUGCAGAUCUGCGGCGCCGGUCAGGUCGAACGUGGCGCAGAGGCCCGCGCGGCCCCGCCAGUCUGGGAACCCGAGCCCCCAGGUGCACGGGGGACCCAAGAUUCGUCGGCCCACUGAAUGUGGCCAGCAAUCCAACCACCUUACCUUGCUUUCUUCAUCCAAUUUCUAGGUGUAGAUUGGCGCCACCAGAGGCGCGAUCACGUUUUGUUCAUGCCGAGUUUGUUAAUCCCGGUGGCAAGUGCGCUGCUGGGGGCGUGUGAUCGAUCCAAGAACGAACACAUACAUGCACCAGCACGCGCGGCACCACGGGAAGGUUUGAAAAGUGGAGAACGCAGCACCGCUGGCCAAUGGGCUUUGCUUGCGAUAUGCUGUUGGUGUGUGGAAAAUGAGAGAGAGGCAGGCAGGUCGCCGUGGCUGUCGUGAUCCAUCCUCGCGGAGGCGAGGAAGAAAGGCAUUGCUGCCUUGCUGGGCAUGGCUUUCGGUUUCAGCGUCGUCGUCCACCUCUCCCUUUUGGAGUUAUUCCUCUGUUGGUUCAGGGUGGUGGAGACGCAGGGAAUGGCGACUGCCAUCAGAUCUUGCAAGCCGGGAGACUGGGAGAGCCUGCUGGUUCAUUAUCUGCGUGGUAAAGCUGAUGCUCAGGUGGUGGUAAAAACGAGUAAUUUCGUGCAUGAUUUAACAGUAAAUUUCUUUCCCUUUUUAUUUUGUAAAUUUUUGUCAACGAAAAUAAUUGUUCUAUAAACGCUGCAUGGGGCACAUUCUAAA